GUGGGGAAUCUUGCGCAAUGGGCGAAAGCCUGACGCAGCCAUGCCGCGUGAAUGAUGAAGGUCUUAGGAUUGUAAAAUUCUUUCACCGGGGACGAUAAUGACGGUACCCGGAGAAGAAGCACCGGCUAACUUCGUGCCAGCAGCCGCGGUAAUACGAAGGGGGCUAGCGUUGCUCGGAAUUACUGGGCGUAAAGGGCGCGUAGGCGGACAGCUUAGUCAGAGGUGAAAGCCCAGGGCUCAACCUUGGAAUUGCCUUUGAUACUGGCUGUCUUGAGUUUGGGAGAGGUGAGUGGAACUCCGAGUGUAGAGGUGAAAUUCGUAGAUAUUCGGAAGAACACCAGUGGCGAAGGCGACUCACUGGCCCAAUACUGACGCUGAGGCGCGAAAGCGUGGGGAGCAAACAGGAUUAGAUACCCCUGUAGUCC
rnacentral:rRNA from 1 species